rnacentral:rRNA from 1 species
GCGGCGAGCGAAGCGGGAAGAGCUCAAAUUUAUAAUCUGGCACCUUCGGUGUCCGAGUUGUAAUCUCUAGAAGUGUUUUCCGCGUUGGACCGCACACAAGUCUGUUGGAAUACAGCGGCAUAGUGGUGAAACCCCCGUAUAUGGUGCGGACGCCCAGCGCUUUGUGAUACACUUUCAAUGAGUCGAGUUGUUUGGGAAUGCAGCUCAAAUUGGGUGGUAAAUUCCAUCUAAAGCUAAAUAUUGGCGAGAGACCGAUAGCGAACAAGUACCGUGAGGGAAAGAUGAAAAGCACUUUGGAAAGAGAGUUAACAGUACGUGAAAUUGUUGGAAGGGAAACGCUUGAAGUCAGACUUGCUUGCCGGAGCUUGCUUCGGUUUGCAGGCCAGCAUCAGUUUUCCGGGGUGGAUAAUGACGGUUUGAAGGUAGCAGUCUCGGCUGUGUUAUAGCUUUCCGUUGGAUACAUCCUGGGGGACUGAGGAACGCAGCGUGCUUUUUGCGAAAGACUCGUCUUUUUCACGCUUAGGAUGCUGGUGGAAUGGCUUUAAACGAC